rnacentral:rRNA from 1 species
GGCAGGCCUAACACAUGCAAGUACGAGCGCUCUCUUCGGGGGAGCGGCGGACGGGUGAGUAACGCGUGGGAACGUGCCCUUCUCUAUGGAAUAGCCACUGGAAACGGUGAGUAAUACCAUAUACGCCCUUCGGGGGAAAGAUUUAUCGGAGAAGGAUCGGCCCGCGUUAGAUUAGGUAGUUGGUGGGGUAAUGGCCUACCAAGCCUACGAUCUAUAGCUGGUUUUAGAGGAUGAUCAGCCACACUGGGACUGAGACACGGCCCAGACUCCUACGGGAGGCAGCAGUGGGGAAUCUUAGACAAUGGGCGCAAGCCUGAUCUAGCCAUGCCGCGUGAGUGAUGAAGGCCUUAGGGUCGUAAAGCUCUUUCGCCAGAGAUGAUAAUGACAGUAUCUGGUAAAGAAACCCCGGCUAACCCCGUGCCAGCAGCCGCGGUAAUACGGAGGGGGUUAGCGUUGUUCGGAAUUACUGGGCGUAAAGCGCACGUA